UUCUUUCUUUCUCUUACAGUCUCCUCAGAGCUCAGUGACCUAAGCCAGCACCCACCAAAGCCAGCACCCACCUCCUGUAGAAGUCCCUGUAAGGAGGAAUGGACCACACAUAGCACUCCAUACUCACCUUUCCUGCAGUAUUUAUAUUGGAGAUGACAUCCAUAUGCACAUCAUCACUCAGCCUGACUCCUUUAUUACAGAAGAAACAAGUGAUAGCUCUUCUAGGAAACACUGCUUACAGGAGUUGCGGGCACAUCUUGUAUUUAUGGACAUCCCACAGUGAAUGAACUACCCCAUUACAUUUCUUUUUAUUACUAUUUUUUAACUUAAAAAAGAAAAGGCCAAACAAACAACAGUGCUCUAGCCAGUGUCAGAGCCACAGUGAAAAAGAGACAAACUGGAGGACAAGCAAGCAUCACAGGAUGGAAAUGCUUCUGAUAUGGUCUGGAUGGUGAGACAAGAGAAUAUCUUUUUUCUCUGUGAUAAGAUGACUGAAAAACAAUAAACCUGAGGUUAGUCAAACUCUCUCUCCAUCCAUCUGUUCACCUUCCUUGACAAUGUGUGAACCUGCUGGGCAGUUUCAGCCCAAUUUCACAGAAGGUCAGUGAUGUCAAAGAUAAUUAACAGUCUUCAAACUGUGCACACUUGGGUAAAGUGGGAACUAACAUAAUAUGAGAAGGAAUAAUACAAGAAUUGCAGACAACGUUUCCAGAUUUUCUUAAAGAGAGGAAAAUGCAGAGGGAAUAACUGACAGAGAAAAGGAGAAGAUGUGAAUGGAAUUGACAUAUCAGGGAACGGCUUGAGUCUCUUUCACUAUGAAACUUUAAUGGCAAGCCCUUAUAAGAAAACCAAAUAAAGCCUCCCAACAACAACAUGAAAGAUACUCCAAAAAAGGAUGCUGAAGUUACACCAGUUGUGAUAAAGAAACUUAUGCCAUUGUUUGCUUCCACAUGUGGAAAAUAGCCCUUGGAUGCUGCAUAAACACAGUGCAACAGAAAAUGCCACAAUGAGUAUAGGAAACAGAUCAGGAUGAAGAUACAUGUAUUCUGAUAUGAAAUUAUCAAAGGUCUCCAAAGCUACAGAUGUUGCUAUAAAUAGCUCAACAUCCUGAUUACCAGAAACUUCAAAGGAGUCUUCACGGUACUUCAUUCCUCCAUUGCUCUUAAGUGAAAAUACAGAUUGGGGUAGAUAGAAUUAUACCAAGUUCAGUAACAGAAGAGGUGUACUACUGAACACAAGAAACACCCAGGUAUCCAUUUAGUGGUAUCAAACCAUAGACUCCACAGAGUAAUUUAGGCUGGGAAUGACCAGCUGAAGUCAGGUUACACAAGGCCAGGUGCUCUAAUGCAUCCUAUGGAGAUGCAUGCCCCUCCGGGCAUCCACACCAGUGUGGGAUCACCCUCAGGGUAAAAUUCUUCUUUAUAUCUGAUUGCAAUUUCCCUUGUUGUAACUUGUCUGCUGCCUCUCUUAUAAUCGUGCACCUUUGAGAGAUAUCUGACAUUACCUUCUCUAUGUCUUUACAUUA